AUACACACAUCAUAAACAGCAUCAGAUAGGGUGAUUGCUACAGCGGCACUUGUCAGACAGUACUCUGUCAUGGCGGCUGUGGCCCUCACACCACAUCCUGUGGUCUGAUUUGGCACAUGCAGAAACUCAUUUGACACCUCUUAACUUUUGUGUGUGGCAGCUAAAGGGGAGUUUUGUUACAUUCUUUCUGAGCUAAUGAAUUAGUGCCCCUUGACAGACUAGGACUGUUGCUUUCUUGGUUGUUUUUUUUUUUUGUUUGGCCUCCUCACUAAUGUUUUCAUCUUUAAUGAAGAAGGUCUACGUGGACAGACCUGUAAGGUGCAGAUUACCAUUCUUUCCUCUGAGGGUUUGAAUCCUUAUCAAAUGCAAGUCUUCAGUCCCUCAGUAACUUCUGUCCUGCUCAUGAGCAUUGGCUGCUGCCAAGAAAAAGAGAGACCGUAUCCUUGUGAAGAGUCAUGCAGUGCUGCUUCUCUGCGUUGGGAUGUGUGUGAUCUUUCUGGGGCUUCUCAGGAUUCCUAAGCACAGAACAUGUCUGGACUGAAAGAUGGAGUUUGCUGUACUGUGUUUCUCUGUCUCUCUUUUUAAGGAGCAAAGAUCCCUUUUGUAUUUAAGUGUUUUUGAAAGUGCUCUAUGAGGUUCACAGUGUUUUGUAAGAUAAACUUCUAGUCUCUUCGGCAGAAACUUCGGAAGUUCAAGUUACGUUCAAUUAUUACUCUUCUCAGGUAAAAGCUGUUGGAGUUGUUUCCUGCUGGAACUUUAGGGUCAUAUUAGUACAGACUACAGAGAAAAAGAGAGAGGUUAGGAGAGCUCUGCUUCAGAACUCCUGGAAGAUUUUCUGUGCAAGUUUUAAUAGCCAAGUGGCAAUAACGAUUAAAAAAAAAAAAACAACAAAAAACCAACAAAAAUGCCCUCAACAACUUUCACAUGUCACUGUUUUGCUUAGAAUAACUUCAAGCUUAUUUUUGCCAUUGCAGAAUAUGGUUCUAUUGUUUGAUAAUUUGGACAGCCUUCUUUUAGUGAACUGUUAAUCACGUGUUAUGAAAUACACAAUUUCCAUUUCAAAGUCUUUCUUGCAAUUUUAUAUUGUUAUACAGUUAGCAAGCAUUAGUUUAAAUGAGCGUGUUCUAAUUCUCCUUUUGUAAAUGCAGCGUGUGACUGUGCAGGUAUAUGGCCAUGCAGUAUGCUGGCAGGAACUGUCCUCUCUAGCAGGACCAGACGGGAAAAAGGAAAUUAUCUUUCUGGAUAGAUGGAGGAUAGAAGUCUUUUUCAGAGGAAAUCAUUUUCAAAGCCCACAGCUAUAAGGAUGCCAACCACACUGUGUCUGGCACCAGAGUUAUCUGGAAAGCUAAGCACAGUGCUCAGAUUUAAUCACUAUAUUACCCUACAAAGUUUUGCUUCAUGUGUUUGUCAUUACUGACUUUAUUUAGUCUGAAAGACAUUUUCUUGUACUUGGCAAUUUUUAGAAGGUAUUGCAGCAUUUGGUUGUAUUUGGAGACCUGUCUGCUUUAAACACUGAGAAGAUGACAAUUUUGGCAGUCAUAGUAAAUGUAAGAAG
ensembl:lncRNA